GUUGGGCCCUGUAUCUAGGCAACAGUCUGUGGGGAAGCAGCCCCCCCCCCAUGGAAUCUGCUGUGGGACAAUGUGUCCACACCGAUGGCAAGCCUUCGGGAGCAACUUGGGGUUAAGUAUCUUGCCCAAGGACACAUCGACUGCCGAAGCCGGGUAUUGAACCACCGACCCUCUGAUUGGAGAACAACCUUACUCUCCACUACGCCACAACCGCCCAGACUAGAACCAAAAGAGAGACCUCUUAGUGGUCAUCGCGGGCUCUUGCUCUGCUCAAUCAGAAAGACUUCCUUUUUCCUGAAGAUCAUGCAGUGCGGUUUUCAG